rnacentral:rRNA from 1 species
AAAGGAAUUGACGGGGGCCCGCACAAGCGGUGGAGCAUGUGGUUUAAUUCGAGGCAACGCGAAGAACCUUACCAAGGCUUGACAUGGAGACGACCGGCGCGGAAACGUGCUUUCUCUUCGGAGCGUCUCACACAGGUGGUGCAUGGUUGUCGUCAGCUCGUGUCGUGAGAUGUUGGGUUAAGUCCCGCAACGAGCGCAACCCUUGCGUCCAGUUGCCAGCAUGUAAAGAUGGGCACACUGGAGGGACUGCCGUGGACAACACGGAGGAAGGUGGGGACGACGUCAAAUCAUCAUGCCCCUUAUGUCUUGGGCUACACACGUGCUACAAUGGGCACUACAGCGUGAAGCAAGGCAGCGAUGCGGAGCGAAACACGAAAAGUGCCCUCAGUUCGGAUUGCAGGCUGCAACCCGCCUGCAUGAAGUUGGAAUCGCUAGUAAUCGCGAAUCAGCACGUCGCGGUGAAUACGUUCCCGGGCCUUGUACACACCGCCCGU